GGCGACAUAGCCAAGUGGUAAGGCAAAGGUCUGCAAAAACUUUAUCCUCGGUUCGAAUCCGAGUGUCGCCU
rnacentral:tRNA from 1 species